UGCAAGUCGAACGAGUUCCAGGACUUCGGUUCUGGCGCGAGUGGCGGACGGGUGAGUAACACGUACGCAACCUAUCCGGGAGUGGGGAAUAACUCCGCGAAAGCGGGGCUAAUACCGCAUAUGGUCGCCGGUGAAAGGCCGGUGGACAAAAGCCUUCGGGCGCUUUCGGAGGGACGUGCGGCCGAUUAGCUUGUUGGUGGGGUAAUGGCCUACCAAGGCGACGAUCGGUAGCUGGUCUGAGAGGACGACCAGCCACACGGGGACUGAGACACGGCCCCGACUCCUACGGGAGGCAGCAGCAAGGAAUCUUGCGCAAUGGGCGAAAGCCUGACGCAGCAACGCCGCGUGGGGGAUGAAGGCCUUCGGGUCGUAAACCCCUUUUGCAGGGGAAGCAACUGACGGUACCCUGCGAAUAAGCCACGGCUAACUACGUGCCAGCAGCCGCGGUAAUACGUAGGUGGCGAGCGUUGUCCGGAUUUACUGGGCGUAAAGCGCGCGCAGGCGGCUUGCCAAGUCUGGGGUGAAAGCUCCCGGCUCAACCGGGAGAGGUCUCCAGAAACUGGCAGGCUUGAGGGGAGCAGAGGAGAGUGGAAUUUCCGGUGUAGCGGUGAUAUGCGUAGAUAUCGGGAGGAACACCAGUGGCGAAGGCGGCUCUCU
rnacentral:rRNA from 1 species